UACGAAGGGGGCGAGCGUUGUUCGGAUUUACUGGGCGUAAAGGGCGCGCAGGCGGCUCAUUUUGUCAGGCGUGAAAGCCCCGGGCUUAACCUGGGAACUGCGGUUGAUACGGAUGGGCUAGAGUUCGGGAGAGGAGAGUGGAAUUCCCAGUGUAGAGGUGAAAUUCGUAGAUAUUGGGAAGAACACCGGUGGCGAAGGCGGCUCUCUGGACCGAGACUGACGCUGAGGCGCGAAAGCGUGGGGAGCAAACAGG
rnacentral:rRNA from 1 species